UACAGAGGGUGCAAGCGUUAAUCGGAAUAAUUGGGCGUAAAGGGUGCGUAGGUGGUUUGUUAAGUUGUGUGUGAAAGCCCCGGGCUUAACCUGGGAAUUGCAUACAAUACUGAUAGACUAGAGUCGGGUAGAGGGUAGUGGAAUUUCCGGUGUAGCGGUGAAAUGCGUAGAGAUCGGAAGGAACACCAGUGGCGAAGGCGGCUACCUGGACCCAGACUGACGCUGAGGCACGAAAGCGUGGGUAGCAAACAGG
rnacentral:rRNA from 1 species